ensembl:lncRNA
UGCUGAGUUUGUCCUGGUGGAUCAUCAGGGGUGCAAAGCCUCACAGAUGAUGUGCAGCAGUGGGUCCCUCAGUCUGUCCUCACUCUGGACACUUGCAGUCGUCACACAUGGAAAUCAAAUGUGUGAUAAGCUGCAGGAUUCAGACACAAGUGUAACUUAUAAACACACGUUCAUACUUUUAUUCCACAAUCAGAGAGAAAGAAACAGAGAGAGAGUGCAGGACAGACAGACAGGUGACAGUCUCAGGUGUACACACUGCUACACAACAGCACAGAGAAGCAGGAUUUAGUGUUUGUGUUAUUACGAGUGUAAACAAGAAGAGUUCCAGAUGGUGCAGUGGACACAUGUGUGACUGCUGUGAUUAAAGCAUCUUUCUUUCAGCUUAACGAGUGAACCGUCAGCUCGUUCAAACACACGUUAAAGUGCGUUUGGCUCGACACCACCGAACAGAGGCAGCAAUAUAACACAGCUAACAUUAACAGUGCAGUGGAUCCUGCUUGUGCCGUGAUGUUCAGGACUGCAAACCGAGCAGCAUCACUGACUUUCAGCCUGUUGUGUUUGUGGAUAUAUGACUGACUUUAAUUAUCCAUGAAAUCAUCACAUUCUCUGUACGAUUAAGGUCGACUAUAUAUAUAUGUAGAGGCUUUAAAACCAAGUAAACACUGAAAGUACAAACAUCACUAAUGUCGCACAACUCUGCCAACAUGUGGCCAACAGUAAUGUUUUAAUUUUCUUCGUUAUUAAACAUUCGCACAUAAAUAAGUGACGUCAUAUUCAGUACUUACUUUUCACAGUUCACUCUUCUGCCGUAUUUUGCAGCAAAAUUAUCCACACCCACCGCCGCACUAUGAACUGUGGGAUAUAUGGGACCACGAAGCGUGCACCGGACCACGCUUGAUAUUUGGGGAACUCGACGGCGCAUUUGGAGUAUGCGUUCGAAGUACACUUCGAAUUGGGACAGCCGUCGUCGCGUGGCGGUGACGUAACCGCACUUGAAAUGCGUACUUCAAGCGUGCAGACCCUGAAUUGGGACACAGCCACUGUGCUUCCCGGGUGGUUAGCAUCUUUGCUACAUGCUGCCACACGCCUCAGGAAUGACCACGCCCGUCGCAAGAAGGUCUUCCGUCUUCUGCAGAGGAAACUGUUUUUUAACAAGGUUGGCGUGAAGGAGGGGGAUCAGUGUCAGCCUACCUACGUCUACCCUAAAGAGGUGAAGAUGUUGAUACGGUCUGCCUUUCCAGAGGACAUCUGUGACUAUCCAGAUCCCUGCCAUGAUAAGGUGGUGUACAUCACUGUGGAGGAUCUGCACAAAGUUAAAAUCAUGUGAUGUCUCUCAUUUCCUCUUUUUGAGUUUGCACUGAAAGUUAGAGACUGGAGCAGAAUGUUUGUGGAUGGUGGGAAGAUUAGUUCUGUGCGCUGUUACGUUUAUUGCCAACAUUUGUACGGUGCUGUUCAACAUUAAUAGCAUUUUCUGCCACACAGUGUGUACUGAUUGUUAUAUGUGCCACCUUUCUCAGGUCUGCAUGUUCUGAGCUGCUCAUGUGUGGGUGACAACUACAAGGACUGUAUAUAAAAGAUGGAUACAGC